rnacentral:rRNA from 1 species
CCUACGUGGGGCUGCAGUGGGGAAUCUUCCGCAAUGGACGAAAGUCUGACGGAGCAACGCCGCGUGAGUGAUGAAGGUCUUCGGAUUGUAAAACUCUGUUGUUAGGGACGAAAGCACCGUGUUCGAACAGGUCAUGGUGUUGACGGUACCUAACGAGGAAGCCACGGCCAACUACGUGCCAGCAGCCGCGGUAAUACGUAGGUGGCAAGCGUUGUCCGGAAUUAUUGGGCGUAAAGAGCAUGUAGGCGGGCUUUUAAGUCUGACGUGAAAAGGCGGGGCUUAACCCCGUAUGGCGUUGGAUACUGGAAGUCUUGAGGGCAGGAGAGGAAAGGGGAAUUCCCAGUGUAGCGGUGAAAUGCGUAGAUAUUGGGAGGAACAACAGUGGCGAAGGCGCCUUUCUGGACUGUGUCUGACGCUGAGAUGCGAAAGCCAGGGUAGCAAACGGGAUUAGAUACCCCUGUAGUC